rnacentral:lncRNA from 1 species
CUCUGGAGUCCAGACAUCUGAGAUCAAGGUGGCCGGCCCGGUGGCACAGCAGUUAAGUGUGCACGUUCUGCUUUGGUGGCCCAGGGUUCCCCAGUUCAGAUCCCGGAUGUGGACAUGUCAUCACUCACCAAGCCACACUGUGGGAUGGAUUUCAAGUUUGGCAAACAUCUGACUGACACUUACUAAGAAGAUCAUGUUUGUUUUCAUUUGACAUAUUAAUAUUGUAUAUUACAAUAAUAGACUUUCUAUUAUUGUCGUCCUUUUAUGUCUGUAAUAAAAUUCCCAUGAUCCUAAUGAGUUAUUCUGUUCAUAUACCGCUGUCUUCCAUAUUUUAAUUUUAAAAUGUUGCAUUUAAAAUUAAUAUUUAUUUGUGACACUAAUCUAUACUUAUGUAUGGUAUAUUUGUCACAUAUUGCAUCAGCGUUUACGUGGCUUCAGAAGAAAAGCAUGAAAGUUUUCUUUUUUCUCUGUGACAUGAAACAGUGUCAGAUUACUUAUUAUUUGAAACCAUGAAGAAAUUUUUGUAUUAAACCACUUAUUUUGAAAUUUUGUUCAUAUGCUCCAGUGGUCAAUUGUAGCGUUUUUGUUUUCAUAGAAAAAAUUCAGCUUAAAAAAUUUAUGUAGAGCUUUAAAAUAGUUCUAUUAUGAUUCUUCUAAUUUCCUCAAGAUCUAUGGUUAGUGUCCUGUUUAUUACUAAUAAUUUAGUUAUUUUUUGUUUUUCCCUUUAUUCCUAAUUAGUCCUUUUCAUGAUUCAUUAUAUUCUUCUUUCCAAAAAACUGCCCCAUUUUUAAUGCUCUCUUUUCUGUUUCUUUCUUUCUUUCUUUUUUGGCUGAGGGAGAUUUGCCCUGAGCUAACGUCUGUGCCAAUAUCCCUCUAUUUUAUAUGUCAGUCACCACCACAGCAUGGCCACUGACAAGUGGUAUGGAUCUGCACCCAGGAACCAAACCCAGCAGCCAAAGCAGAGUGUGCCAAACUUAACCGCUAGGGCACAGGCCAGCCCCUCUUUUCUGUUUCUUGAUUAAUACAUUUAAAAUUUUUUCUUUAUUAGGUUCUUCCUUCUUUCUAUGGGAUAUAUUUUUGUUCUGUAGGGAAUUUUUAAGGCUAUUUGCUUGAUUCAGACCCUUAAUUGAUUCAUUUUAAUUUGUCUGGUUCAGUUAUAAAUUUACUUCUGUGUCAUAGCAUUAGCUAUAUCAUAUAUGAUAUGAUAUACAUCAUUAAUUUCUAGCAGUUUUGCAAUUUGAGUUUUGAUUUCUUUUUUUAACCUAGGCAUUGUUUGAAAUGUAUUUUACCAGAGUUUUUUGCUUACAUUUUUGUUAUUAAUUUAAAGAAUUU